GACGAACGCUGGCGGCGUGCCUAAUACAUGCAAGUUGAGCGAUGAAGAUUGGUGCUUGCACCAAUUUGAAGAGCAGCGAACGGGUGAGUAACGCGUGGGGAAUCUGCCUUUGAGCGGGGGACAACAUUUGGAAACGAAUGCUAAUACCGCAUAACAACUUUAAACAUAAGUUUUAAGUUUGAAAGAUGCAAUUGCAUCACUCAAAGAUGAUCCCGCGUUGUAUUAGCUAGUUGGUGAGGUAAAGGCUCACCAAGGCGAUGAUACAUAGCCGACCUGAGAGGGUGAGCGGCCACAUUGGGACUGAGACACGGCCCAAACUCCUACGGGAGGCAGCAGUAGGGAAUCUUCGGCAAGAGACGAAAGUCUGACCGAGCAACGCCGCGUGAGUGAAGAAGGUUUUCGGAUCGUAAAACUCGGUUGGUAGAGAAGAACGUUGGUGAGAGUGGAAAGCUCAUCAAGUGACGGUAACUACCCAGAAAGGGACGGCUAACUACGUG
rnacentral:rRNA from 1 species